ensembl:lncRNA novel transcript, antisense to C7orf33 and CNTNAP2
CUCUUUCUCUGUGAAUUUCUUGAGAGCACAGACUACAUUCUGCUUAACUUUUUAUCCCCAGCUUUCAGCACAGUGCCUGGCUUGUCUGAGGCGCAUGGCCCCGGGAGAGGAGGAGAAUGGGACGGUGGUUCAGAUCUGCUGAUGUAGCUGUGGUCAGUCACUGGGGAGAAUAGGCCUGUGGAUUUCUGCUCCUCUGAGAUGGAUCCAUCACUGACUACUGAACUUGUUUUCUCAUUGGCUCAACUUAAGAAGGUUCUAGAGGGAACUGACUUCUUCCUCCUCAUGGUCCACUUGAAAUUCCAGGAAAAGGAACAGAUGUGCAAGGAAUUGCAGCCUGGAGAAACAUAGUGUAUUUGGAGACUUGCAUGUAAAUGGAUAAAAUGUCAAUCAACCUUCAUGUUGUGUCUACGCUCAAUCAUCCCUGAUGACCCUACGCUGACUACAGAUGCAGAAUUCAGCAAAAACCAAUGAAAGCAUUCGGUGAGAAUCAAUGGCUAUAUGGAGCUUACAAUAAACCGUAUUGUGUAUUUUAUUA